GUUGCAGGCAGCAGGCAGAGCCAUGGAGGCUUCGGUGCCCCCGAUGUCGGCUCCGCUCUGCCUGGUGCACAACCAGGACUGCAGACUGUCCCUCAACCCCGCAGCGCUGGACUUUCUGUGCAGCUGUCACUCAGCCAGUGGUGGUGGUGACCAUUGUUGGGCCUUUCAGAACCGGGAAGUCCUUCCUGAUGAAGCGGCUGGUACAGAAGUGCACGGGCUCCCUGCUGGGCAAUGCAGUGCAGACGCAAACGAAGGGCAUCUGGAUGUGGUGUCUGCCCCACCCGUGCAAACCUGGUGUGGCACUGGUGCUGCUGGACACCGAGGGGCUGGGAGACCCCAGAAAGGCUGACAGCUGCAACGAUGCCUGGAUCUUCACGUUGGCUCUGCUGCUCUCCAGCACCCUGGUGUACAACAGCAUACACACCACUGGCCACAGGAUGCUGGAAUACCUGUGGUUGCUGAUGGAUCUGCGCGUGCGUGUGCGAGCGCAGGCAGUUGACACUGAGCCAGCAGAUGAGUUCGCCCGUGUCUUCCCUGGCUUUGUCUGGGUUGUGCGUGACUUCAUGAUGGAGAGCAGCGAGCAGCCCAUCAGCGGGGAUGAGUACCUGGAGCGUAUACUGCGCCCACAGCUCUGGCUCACGAUGAGGAAGUACAACGAGCUGCAGCGCCGCUUGCGCAACUUCUUCCCCCACCACAAGCUGUUCACUGCUGGAGCAGCCGGUGGCUGACAGAGUCCUGGCGCAGAUGGAGGUGCUGCGGGACGAUCAGCUGCAGCCGCAAUUCCGACAACAGGAGGAGGCCUUCUGCCAGCACAUCUGGAAAGAGGCGCCAGUGAAGGUGCUGCUGAACAGCAGCCAGGUGACAGGCAGAGUGCUAGCACGCCUGGCGGAGACUUACAGUGGCAGCCAUCACCACCGGCUCCGUGCCCUGCGUGGAGAGCGCGCUCACGGUGGUGGUUGAAGCUGAGAACAGCACAGCGGUGGAGGCGGCCGUGGCCGAAUACCGGCAGGGCAUGGAGCAGGGCCUGGUGCUGCCCACGGCCUCGCACGAUGCGCUGAUGGCCGUGCACCGGGACUGGAAGCAACGCGCCGGAACCUUCUUCCUGUCCCACGCCUUUGCCAACACCAGGCAGUGUUACCAGGCACUGCUGAUGGACAAGCUGGAGGCAGCAAAGGAGGAGUUCUGCCGGCGCAACGAGGAAGCGUCGGAGCAGCGGUGCUGCGCGGUGCUGCGGGAGCUGUGGGGGGACACGGAGCUCCGCAUGAAGCGUGGGGACUACGUGGUGCCGGGGGGCAUGCGGCUGUUCCAGGAGGACCUGAAGCGUGUGCUGGAGGAGUACGAGAGGAGGCCUGACAAGGGUGUCAAGGCGGAGGCAGUGCUGAAGGAGUUCCUACGGGUGAAGGGACUGGAGAUGAUGGAGAUGUGGCUAGAUUGGGUGGACCAGCAGUGUAAGGCGGUGCUGGCUGAGGUGGCAGCCGCCACGCAGACGGUGGAGAAGAAGCUGGAGAAGCAGCUGGAGAAGCAGCUGGAGGAGCAGCUGGAGGAGCACCGACAGCAGCAGAGGGCGGAGUUGACCAAGAUGAGAAUGGUCAAGGAGAAGGUGGAGCAGCGGAUCUGCAUUUUGGAGAAGCAGCAGGAGGCAAUGUUGGCUGAGGUGGCAGCAAUCAAAAAGAUGGUGGAGAAGCAGCUGGAGCAGCAGCAGGUGGUGUUGGCUGAGGUGACUGCAGCCAAGAAGGCGGUGGAGAAGCAGCAGGAGCAGCAGCAGGUGGCCCUGGCCGAGGUGACAGCCCUCCAAGAGGCAGCAGAGGCACAGCUGGAGGAGCGCUGGCAGCGGUGGGCGCAGCAGCUGCAGGAGGAGCAGAACCUCGUGCUGUCUCAGCGCCUGCAGGAGCUCGAGGCACGGCUGCAGGAGGGCCGUGGGUGCGAGGCGGCAGCACUGCAGCAGAUGCAGGAGGAGGACCAGACGGUGCCCUCCUGGCGCUCCACGCUCUUGAAAUUCCUGGACAAAGUGGUUGUGCCAAUCCUGAUCAGAUUGGUCAACAGCGUGGUGAACAACGCCGCCUAAAUGGACUCCUGUAAGCCGUGGAGCGGCCCCCCACCCACUGCCGCCGCAAUUAGCCCGGUGACACUGCUCAGCAGUGACACAGAAAGCACUGAUGAAGACACCGAACGAGACCGGACCCAGCAGGACCCGAGGAGCACCACUUGCUGCAGGGCUCCUGCCAGUUUUGCUCCGUUUUUGCUGUUGGUGGCACUCGGAUUGCCACCCGAGCACCCAGCACAGUAAAACCAUAUUUGUUUUA